rnacentral:rRNA from 1 species
CGAGGAAAAGAAACUAACAAGGAUUCCCCUAGUAACGGCGAGUGAAGCGGGAAGAGCUCAAGCUUAAAAUCUCCGUGCAAGUUUUGCGCGGCGAAUUGUAGUCUAUAGAGGCGUGGUCAGCGUGGGCGCUUGGGGCAAGUUCCUUGGAAGAGGACAGCAUGGAGGGUGAUACUCCCGUUCAUCCCUGAGUGGCUCGUGCGUACGACCCGUGUUCUUUGAGUCGCGUUGUUUGGGAAUGCAGCGCAAAGUAGGUGGUAAAUUCCAUCUAAAGCUAAAUAUUGGUGCGAGACCGAUAGCGAACAAGUACCGUGAGGGAAAGAUGAAAAGAACUUUGAAAAGAGAGUUAAAGAGUACCUGAAACUGCUGAAAGGGAACCGAAUCGUUUCCAGUGUCUAUAAUCCGUGGCAUAUUUCAUUGGCGAGUGUGCGCGUGCGUGUGCUGUGGCAGUGGCUUUUUUGGCUGCGCUCGGUGUGUGUGCUGUGUGUGCUUGCUGGUGCCCUGUGCUGCGGUGGGACGUCAAGGUCAGUUCGUAUGCUGCGGGAAAUGGCUGCCGAGGAGGUAGGGCUUACGCUCCGCGUUUGUCUGUUAUAUCUUGGUGGACGAGUCGUCGCGGUUGGGACUGAGGUGCCUACAACGUGCUUUUGAGUGGGUUUGUGUCUCCGUGUGCGCCGUGUGCGGAUAGCUUGCUAUGCGUGUGUGGUUGUGUGUGGAUUGAUGCGGGCUUUAACUUGUCGCCGUUCGGGACGUUGACGAAAUGGAGCGAUCCGACU